GCCCGAAUGGCUUAGGGGUACAGGUCAGUCACCACAAAACAGUUCCACCAGUGAACUAGCGCUAACUCACAACAGCGUCUCACUCGUAAACAUUGCGAAAUGAGAAGAUCCGGUGUUCGAUUCACCGUUUGGGCA